rnacentral:rRNA from 1 species
AACGUAGGAGGCAAGCGUUAUCCGGAUUUACUGGGCGUAAAGCGCAUGUAGGCGGUCUUGUAAGUUGGAUGUGAAAGCUCCUGGCUUAACUGGGAGAGGUCGUUCAAUACUGCGAGACUAGAGAGUGAUAGAGGAAGAUGGAAUUCCGGGUGUAGUGGUGAAAUGCGUAGAUAUCCGGAGGAACACCAGUGGCGAAAGCGGUCUUCUGGAUCACUUCUGACGCUCAGAUGCGAAAGCUAAGGUAGCAAACGGGAUUAGAGACCCCGGUAGUCUUAGCUGUAAACGAUGUAGACUUGGCGUUGGUGGGUUCAAAUCCAUCAGUGCCGGAGCAAACGCGGUAAGUCUACCGCCUGGGGACUACGGCCGCAAGGUUAAA